CCCCAGGUGUGUCCCCAGGUGUGCCCAGGUGUCCCCAGGUGUGUCCCCAGCUGUCCCCAGGUGUCCCCAGGUGUGCCCAGGUGUCCCCAGGUGUCCCAGGUGUGCCCAGGUGCGCUCACGUUGUCGGUCAGGGUGACGUCGGCCCCUCGGGUCAGCAGUCGCCGAAUGACCUCGAUGUGUUUGUGCUCGGCCGCCCAAAUGAUCGGGGUCCAGCCGCCAUUGUCCUGAGGGGUCACCCAGGGGUCACCCAAAAACACCCCAAACACCCCAAAACCAACCCAAAAUCACCCCAAAACCAACCCCAAAAUCAGCCCAAAAACAACCCCAAAAAGAGCCCCAAAACAACCUAAAAACAGCCCAAAAACAACCCCCAAAACAACCCAAAACCAACCCAAAAACACCCCAAAAACAACCACAAAAACACCCCAAAUCACCCCAAAAACACCCCCAAAACAGCCCAAAAACAACCCAAAAACACCCCAAAUCACCCCAAAAACACCCAAAAAAUUAGCCUAAAAACACCCCAAAACCACCCCAAAACCACACCCAAAAACAUCCCAAAAUCACCCAAAAACAACCGAAAAACAACCAAAAACUCCAAAAACAACCCAAAACAACCCCAAAAACAGCCCACAUCACCCCAAAACCAGCCCCUAAACAACCCCAAAAACAUCCCAAAAACAACCCCAAAACAACCCAAAACCAGCCCAAAAAUAACCCCAAAACAACCCAAAAACAGCCCAAAUCACCCCAAAACAACCCCAAAACACCCCAAAUCACCCCAAAAACAACGGAAAAACACCCAAAAUCACCCAAAACCACCCAAAACCAGCCCAAAAACACCCAAAAAACACCCAAAACCACCCAAAAACAGCCCCAGAGCAGCCCUGACCCUCUGACCACUGCCAGGACACUCUGGACAGUGAGUGGACACUCAGGGGUCACUCAGGGGUCACUCAGGGGUCACUCAAUGGUCAGUGGUCACUCAGGGGUCACUCAGGGUCACUCAGGGGUCAGUCAGGGGUCACUCAGGGGUCACUCAGGGGUCACUCAGGGGUCACUCAGGGGUCACUCAGGGUCACUCAAUGGUCAGUGGUCACUCAGUGGUCACUCAAUGGUCACUCACCUGGGCGUUGACGUCCACCUGGCCGGUGCCCAGCAGCAGCUCCACCAUCUCCAGGUUCCCGUUCUUGGCCGCGUGGUGCAGGCAGGUGGAGCCGUCCUCCUCCUGUGACGUCAUCGACGCCCGCGCGGUGACGUCAUCGAUGGCAGCGCAGUGACGUCAUCGACGGACGCGCAGUGACGUCAUACACGGGGGUGGUGACAUCAUCAAUGUGGGGCACGGUGAUGUCAUACCCAGGGGGUGGUGACGUCAUACGUGUGUGUGUGUGGUGAUGUCAUACCCAGGGGGUGGUGACGUCAUACAUAUGGGGGAAGUGACG
rnacentral:lncRNA from 1 species